rnacentral:rRNA from 1 species
GUCAGUUCUAAAUAUACUAAAUGCACCAGAUCCUGUGUGAUCUUGGAAGCUAAGCAGGGUCAGCCCUGGUUGGUACUUGGAUGGGAGACCACCCAAAAAUGCCAGGUGCUGUAGGCU